UCCUGGGUUUGGAUAGGAUUAGAUUUGAUCUCUUGCAUAUGGGGUUAAAGGGUUUAACCCAUUUUAUUUUCUACUACGUAUUUCAAAAGUUUUAAAAUCUACACAUGCUGCCUACUCGAUUUCUAACAUCUUCAUGAUAAAAUAAUUCCAAGCAUUUUUUCAAGUGAAGAUGCACCCUCGGAGUAGGGGUUGGUUGUACACUUCUCCAUGAAAGGAUGUUACCAAUUUUCCCUCCGAUCUCUUUUUCAUUCAUGAGUGGAAGAGUCAAUUUUUCUUUACAUCCUCCUCACCUUUGUAGGGCUCACCAAUGAAGUCUAUAUUUUUGAAGCUUCUUGAGUUGACUAAAGUAGAGGUGAUAGUGAAGGAGUUGAAGCAGCUUAGGAUGCCCCCAUAUUUUAAGCUUCUCAACUGGGAUCUUUUUAAAAGAUUAUACUUCGAUAGUCUGACCUUGGAGGUAAGCAUUGGUACUUAGGUGUUUGAUCCUUAGAUUAUGAACUUAAAAUAUGUGGACUCUUGAGUUGGUGCAAGUUUAACAUUCUCUUGGAAGGAGUUAUCUGGUCCUCCAAAGAACAAGGAGAAGAAGAGGAAGAGGAUAACCUUACUCCCUUCUCUUGAAGCUGUUAUGACUGAAGUUACUAUUGCUGAGGUUGGAGCUAUCGAGGUUGAGUUAGUAGAUCAGCUGAAGAAGAAGUAAUCAAAGAGGAAGCAUGUUGCCUCUUCACUUAAUGUUGCUGUGGUCGAUAUAGUCCCUGUCGGGGAUGAUCUUCCCAAUGUGACAGAUGGAAGUGCUCUGGCUCUCUUAAGCAUUCCAUUUUCUUUUAUUUCCAGCUCCAUGCAG
rnacentral:lncRNA from 1 species